CAAAUAAUGACAUGAUUUUUGUAAAUGCUCUUCAUGAGAUAAAUACAGAAAUUGAAAGAAUUAUCGAAAAUACAGAAAUAGAUGGACAAUCGAUAAAUGUACAUAUUAAUGCAAGUACAGGUUUUAAUCAAAUUUGCACAGAAUCGCAAACCACAGAGUAUGAAAGAAAUCAAUGGCUUUAUUAUUGGACAGUGUAAGAUGACCAACUAUAUUGACGGUGAAUACUUCGAAUACGUUACAAACCGAUAGAACAUCAAAUUAUGACAUUUUUGACACAGACGCACGUCAUGACACAAACUAUUGUUUAACUAAUGCAGAAAUUGAACAGAAUAAGUGAAGGAAUUAUAGCAGAUAAAGGAUAUAACGAUUGAUAGAAUUUAAUGCAAAUGCAAGUCAUCAAACUGGCGAAGAAUUGCAAAGCUCAGAGUAUGAAGGAAAUCAAUGCAUGGCAUAACAUUUUACAUCAUGGAACACUUGAAAAAUCGACAAAAUAUGUAUAUGUGGCAAUAUUACACACUAGACGAGAAUUGUAAUGCAAAAUGCAUAAUUUGUAAUAGAUUGAUAAAAGCGACUCAGAAUUGGAAUUUGAAAAGUCAUAUAAUUACACAACAUCAAGAAGAAAUGACGAAAAUACAAAAAACAAUUACAGACAUUUGGUUAU
rnacentral:lncRNA from 1 species